GGCACCACAGCCAACAGACAGUUGCCAGACAUGAGUGGGGACAUCUCCAGCCAUCUCUCCAGCUGAACACAACUGCAUGUGUGAGCUCAGCUGAAGCCAGCAGAGGACCCACUCACCCAACACACGGGAUCACGAGAAGUACCCCCACACACACAAUUUUGUGAUCAUAUGGCCAUCCAGGAUAAAAGCUGUAUUUCUAAACCUCCUUUGCAAAUAGUUAUGGCCAGGUAGUUAAAUUACAGUGGAAAUAUUAUAUGGGAGCUUCUUUUGCCCCUAUUUUCCUCGCUUUGUCCUAGUACUACAGUGUAAAACACAGAUAUGCAGACUCAUGCCCAGCAACCAUCUUGGAUCAUGAAGACAAAAGCCACACAUUACAUAUUAGUACCGUUGACAGAUGCUUGCAUCCCAGAUGAUGGUGCCAAUGUGUACAACCCUCCUACCACUGUUGUAUUUCUAUGUCAUAAAGAAUGAACUAUUAUCUCAAUCAAA